AUGGAACACGUCUUUUAGUAGUAGUUGAGUCCACCAUGAAUGGUAUAUUCUUCUCUGCAACUUCUUCUUUUUUUUUCAGUGUCCGAUUACUCUUUUCACAAGAUCAAAACUAUAUGUUGUUUUGGGGACACCCAACCAACCAAG
rnacentral:ribozyme from 1 species